rnacentral:rRNA from 1 species
GACGAACGUUGGCGGCGUGCUUAACACAUGCAAGUCGAACGGAAAGGCCCUGCUUUUGUGGGGUGCUCGAGUGGCGAACGGGUGAGUAACACGUGAGUAACCUGCCCUUGACUUUGGGAUAACUUCAGGAAACUGGGGCUAAUACCGGAUAGGAGCUCCUGCUGCAUGGUGGGGGUUGGAAAGUUUCGGCGGUUGGGGAUGGACUCGCGGCUUAUCAGCUUGUUGGUGGGGUAGUGGCUUACCAAGGCUUUGACGGGUAGCCGGCCUGAGAGGGUGACCGGCCACCUUGGGACUGAGAUACGGACCAGAAUCCUACGGGAGGCAGCAGUGAGGAAUAUUGCACAAUGGGCGGAAGCCUGAUGCAGCAACGCCGCGUGCGGGAUGACGGCCUUCGGGUUGUAAACCGCUUUCGCCUGUGACGAAGCGUGAGUGACGGUAAUGGGUAAAGAAGCACCGGCUAACUACGUG